rnacentral:rRNA from 1 species
GGUUAAGCGACUAAGCGUACACGGUGGAUGCCCUGGCAGUCAGAGGCGAUGAAGGGCGUGCUAAUCUGCGAUAAGCGCCGGUAAGGUGAUAUGAACCGUUAUAACCGGCGAUACCCGAAUGGGGAAACCCAGUGUGAUUCGUCACACUAUCAUUAACUGAAUCCAUAGGUUAAUGAGGCGAACCGGGGGAACUGAAACAUCUAAGUACCCCGAGGAAAAGAAAUCAACCGAGAUUCCCCCAGUAGCGGCGAGCGAACGGGGAGGAGCCCAGAGCCUGAAUCAGCAUGUGUGUUAGUGGAAGCGUCUGGAAAGGCGCGCGAUACAGGGUGACAGCCCCGUACACAAAAGCGCAUGUGCUGUGAGCUCGAUGAGUAGGGCGGGACACGUGGUAUCCUGUCUGAAUAUGGGGGGACCAUCCUCCAAGGCUAAAUACUCCUGACUGACCGAUAGUGAACCAGUACCGUGAGGGAAAGGCGAAAAGAACCCCGGCGAGGGGAGUGAAAAAGAACCUGAAACCGUGUACGUACAAGCAGUGGGAGCACCCUUCGGGGUGUGACUGCGUACCUUUUGUAUAAUGGGUCAGCGACUUAUAUUCUGUAGCAAG